rnacentral:lncRNA from 1 species
CCACCUCCGAUGGCCUACGGAUAAAGAAAAGAUUAUUUUAAAAAAAUUAAUUUAAUUAUAGCAUAAAAUAAUCCUAAUCUUUGAAAUAUUUACCAUACCAGCCAUGCAUAUGGAUACUCCACCGAACUGAAAUCUAAGUAAUCCAUAUUUAAUCCAAUGAUUGGAAAUAUAAAAAAAUAAAAAGAUCAAAAUAUCCUUAGGAGCACC